rnacentral:rRNA from 1 species
CCUACGGGAGGCAGCAGUGAGGAAUAUUGGUCAAUGGCCGUAAGGCUGAACCAGCCAAGUCGCGUGAAGGAAGAAGGAUCUAUGGUUUGUAAACUUCUUUUAUAGGGGAAUAAAGGUAUCCACGUGUGGAUAUUUGCAUGUACCCUAUGAAUAAGCAUCGGCUAACUCCGUGCCAGCAGCCGCGGUAAUACGGAGGAUGCGAGCGUUAUCCGGAUUUAUUGGGUUUAAAGGGUGCGUAGGUUGUUUGUUAAGUCAGCUGUGAAAGUUUGUGGCUCAACCAUAAAAUUGCCGUUGAAACUGGAAGUCUUGAGUGUGUUUGAGGUAGGCGGAAUGCGUGGUGUAGCGGUGAAAUGCAUAGAUAUCACGCAGAACUCCGAUUGCGAAGGCAGCUUACUAAGCCAUAACUGACACUGAAGCACGAAAGCGUGGGGAUCAAACAGGAUUAGAUACCCUAGUAGUC